UCUUGAGUAGCCCAGCGGUAAAGCAUCCGCCUGCAAUGCAGGAGACCCAGGUUUGAUCCCUGGGUCAAGGA
rnacentral:tRNA from 1 species